UACGUAGGGGGCAAGCGUUGUCCGGAAUUAUUGGGCGUAAAGAGCGUGUAGGCGGCCAGAUAAGUCCGCUGUGAAAUCUCGAGGCUCAACUUCGAGCUGUCGGUGGAAACUAUCUGGCUAGAGUCCGGAAGAGGAGAAUGGAAUUCCCGGUGUAGCGGUGAAAUGCGCAGAUAUCGGGAGGAACACCAAUGGCGAAGGCAGCUCGCUGGGACGUUACUGACGCUGAGACGCGAAAGCGUGGGGAGCAAACAGG
rnacentral:rRNA from 1 species